GCAUCUGUGGACAACAAACAGAAGAGCCACUGAUGUCAUCAGGGCUUCAGUAACGCCUUUAACAUGAUUCCCCAUAACAUCCUUCUCUCUCUGACACUCUCUGACUUAGAAAGAUAUGGACUUGAAAGAUGGGCUGUUCAGAAGACAUGGAACUGGUUGCAAGAUCAUACCAGAGCAUAGUUGUCAACAGCUCAAUGUCUGGAUGGAGGUCAGAGAAGGAAAUCUGCACAUUGUCUCUGGGAAACUGACUAGUAAAGGAUUGCUUGAAAAAAUUAUAUCAUACCUCAAGUCCCUGUCAAAGGGAUAAUGCCAGAAGGAAAAUGAAGUCCAUCAUAAAUAUUACUUGGUUUGGAUGAUACUCAGAACAAUAUCAGCCCCAGCAUUCUCUGAAGGUCUUCAGCACAGAAGACUCUGGACAUCAUCCAGCUCUGUGGUAACUCAUCUUGCCAACAUUCUCCUCUUCUCAGAUACCCCACAGCAACUGAGAACAGACAGUGGAGAGAUAUUUCAUCAGAACAGAUUGAGAAAGUUAACUUUUCCAAACUUCAGAUCUUCUAGAAAGCACAUAAAAUUGACGUUAUUUGACUGUCUCUUCCAAUUGUCAGGUACCAAGUCCAGCUGUACAAUUUAAGGAAGUGGCUUUCUCAUAUUAAGUGGUCAACUGCCUGGAAAGAGACUGAUGUUGUCUGAAAAACUCUUUGACAUGAAAUAAGGGUGGUCCAUGGGAGGCACAUUCCCCUUAGUGAAAAAGGCAUUUCAGCUCCCAAAUGGGACAUAACUGCACAGGAUGCGACCUGCAGGGAACCUGUGCAUCAUCUAUCUUACUCUCAACAACAGGCUUUCUGACCACGAUGUAAUAGAGAGAGCAUACCUCUGCAGCGUUUCCUGGUGGUACCAUUAAACAGACAAAUGGUGGUAGCCAUUUGGGAAAUGUAUGCCUCUUCCUCUUUUCUCUGAGUUGCUCUCCAUAGGAGUAAGGCUACAAAAUCUGUGUCACAGGAGCAGUUGAACAUGAAGGCAAGAAAGGCACAGUGUAAGUAUGUAUUAAUACAUCCUACUAGUGCUGCAAAACAAGUGACCAUUUGAUUUGCUGAGCACUGCCUAUGGGGGACAGCUCUAGUGACCAUUCCAGUGCUGCUGCACCAAAUCUGGCAUUUGCAAAAUCAGAAGCCAUUCUUCUCCUGUCUUUUCAUCCCAGUCCCUGAGGGGAUUCACUUGCAAAUGAGAACAGGAGAGAGCAAUUGC